UCUAAUAUGGCAGAAUAGUGCAGUAGAUUUAAGCUCUACAAAUAAAGAUUUUUCUUUUAUUAGAA
rnacentral:tRNA from 1 species